AACGAACGCUGGCGGCAGGCUUAACACAUGCAAGUCGAACGCCCCGCAAGGGGAGUGGCAGACGGGUGCGUGACGCGUGGGAACAUACCCUUUUCUACGGAAUAGCUCUGGGAAACUGGAAUUAAUACCGUAUACGCCCUACGGGGGAAAGAUUUAUCGGGGAAGGAUUGGCCCGCGUUGGAUUAGCUAGUUGGUGGGGUAAAGGCCUACCAAGGCGACGAUCCAUAGCUGGUCUGAGAGGAUGAUCAGCCACAUUGGGACUGAGACACGGCCCAAACUCCUACGGGAGGCAGCAGUGGGGAAUAUUGGACAAUGGGCGCAAGCCUGAUCCAGCCAUGCCGCGUGAGUGAUGAAGGCCUUAGGGUUGUAAAGCUCUUUCACCGAUGAAGAUAAUGACGGUAGUCGGAGAAGAAGCCCCGGCUAACUUCGUG
rnacentral:rRNA from 1 species